UUAUUUUACAGUAGUUAGUAUAUAGGANUUUAAAUCCUGCGACCUCAGUUCGAAUCUGAGUAA
rnacentral:tRNA from 1 species